GAAUAUUAGUCAAUGCUCGAAAGAGUGAACUAGCUAACUGAAAUCAAUUAAAAUAAUUGAUAACAUAAGGGAAAAUUAUGAUAUUACCUUAUUAUUAGUGUCGUCCAAAUCUGGUGCCAGAAGACUCGGUAAGGCCAGAGACACAAACGUUAAUCGUCUUAAUCAGGCGUAAAGGGUUUGUAGGCGGCUUUUAAUUAACUUAAAAAAAUUCUUAAAAAAUAAAUAAAUAAAUAAAAAGUAAAAAAUAAAAGCUAGAAUCAAAUAGAGGAUAUAUUAAAUAACGCUUAGAGUAGGUCUGAUAUCCUUAAAUACUAAGUAGAAUAUUAAAGGCGAAGGCUUUUUUCCAUUAAUGAUUGACGCUCAGAAACGAAGGUGAGGAUAGGAAAUAGGAUUAGAUACCCAAAAUACCCCUCUCUGUCAACGAUGAAUGGUAAUUAAUAAUAAAAAAUUUUAUUAAUAAUAAUGUUAACACGAUAACCAUUCCGCCUUGUGAGUAUGACUGCAAAGUUGAAAACAAAAAAAUUAGUCGGUUUCGGAGCAAACGAAGUGAAGCAUGUUAUUUAAUUC
rnacentral:rRNA from 1 species